CGGGCGGGACGGGGUGGAGGUAACGCGUGGGUAACCUGCCUCAUACAGGGGGAUAACAGUUAGAAAUGACUGCUAAUACCGCAUAAGACCACGGUACCGCAUGGUACAGUGGUAAAAACUCCGGUGGUAUGAGAUGGACCCGCGUCUGAUUAGGUAGUUGGUGGGGUAACGGCCUACCAAGCCGACGAUCAGUAGCCGACCUGAGAGGGUGACCGGCCACAUUGGGACUGAGACACGGCCCAG
rnacentral:rRNA from 1 species